rnacentral:lncRNA from 1 species
CACCUGUUUCUGUCAGCAGGACAUCCUUGUGCACUGGAAGAGUUGAGAGCUGUUAAGUGGAGGGGCAACUUAGCUUCCAAGGGAAGAGUUGCCCAAAGUUAAUGGGAGUGUCUCCUCAUAUUCACAUAAUGCCUUCCAUACCCUUCCAUAUCCCUGAAGGUGGAUUAAUUUUGGUGGUUUCAUCAUGAACAAGAGUGACACCUGUUGAAUUGCUGCCUUCACAAAAUGUCCAUCAUUACUUAUUUUGUAAGUUAAUGGGACCCAAGCAAAGCAUUGGUACUUUCAGUGGAAUGUCCUUCUCGUGGUCAUUUUGCACUCAGACGUAAGCACUGCACUCUCCGCUGACACCCUCAUGUGUGUGGUCUAGUUCCUCUG